CACCCCUCUAGGCCUUCCCCCAGAGUCUGGAUUGCGGAAGUUCAGAGCCGCAGGGUUGGGAGAAUUGAGAACUGCCGGGGGUUUGCUUGUGGUGGGAGGACCAGAUGGCCAGGCUGUUCAAGGUGAGAAAACGGCACAGAGCGGUCAAAUAACUUGCCCAAGAUCACAGCAAGUAAUGGAGUUAGGAUUUGAACCUGCAUUGCGUGGUUCCAGAUUCCUCGCCCUUAAUCUCUAUAAUGCUAAAACAGGGGACAGAGUUAGUGAGGAUAUGCACAGAACUCCAGAUGCCUGAGGCAACAGGGAAGGAAGGAAGAUAUUCACGGAGUAGCAUGGCACGGAAGUCUCACAGUAACUCUGGAGCUACACAGCUCGUCAACACUCCCUCACACUCUACCCCACCCCCUGAAAAGAAGUUAAAAAGAACAAAUUGAGAACGUAUGGAACCACAACUCAGAAACCUUAGCGUUUUCCAUUUCAGCUUUUCUUGGAAUAAUUUGAUGAAAAGCCUGUGCUGUGGUUUUAAAUGGCAUUAGGGUGCCCAUCUUCUGUCCCUACCUCUAAGCUCCUGAACAUGAUUUAUAUUUCCCUAUUUUAAGCUAGCACAGAUUUAUGAGACUUUAAACACCAUAGUUGAUGUUAUUGGAAGUUUAAAGGGAUUAAGCCGGUCCAGCAAUACCUGGGGGGUGUAUAGGUUGUUUAAAAGAUUUAUCAGCAUUUCCAUGUUAAAACCCACUUUUCAAGGAUUUGCAUAGCCUGGGUCUGAAUCUAUUUAUUUUGGGCAGAGGAGUGAAUUUUUAGGAUUUCUCUUAGAUUGAAAAAAAAAAUCCAUCCCUCUAUUGCUUCCUGCUUUGUUUUUUGGGCUGUGCCUCUGCCCUUCACCUCUUUCAUGUCUAGUUUGCUCUGUGUUCUCUGGGGUUUCCUUUCUUCUGUUCCUGUUUUCUCUCAAGCGAUUAAUCUUCUGGUAUUCCUCUACGUUCAUGUAUUCACAAGCUCAGCCUCCGACCCAGGAACCUAACAGCAGCUGGAGGGAGUAUGACACUUCCCAGCUCUUGGACUCUUGUUUGAGGGGGCCAGGGGAACUGAAGGGGGGUGCUGCAUUGCAGUGGGUGAUAGUUGGCCAUGGAGGUGGGAAUGCCUCAGGCCAGAGGGGUGACAGAUCCCCAGGUUUACACCAGAGGGUGCAAUGACUCCGUGGCUGAGAGGGUCUGGCUGGAGUCUGGAGUUUCCAAAUCAAGUGUCCAUUCAAGGCAAAGAGCACAAAAUUCCUAGGCAGUUAGGUGUAGGAGAAGCUGUAUUGAAUGACAUUGAAAAUGGGUUCAGGGCACAAAGUGGGCACACACUCUUUGUCAUAUUCUACCAAUGCUGUGAAGAGCCAACAUUCUUCUCAUUGCCAAUUAUAUUCUCAUCAGCCUCCACUUUUUGCCUCUCAGAUUUCUUCCCAUUCCUAGCUCUGCCCACCUUGUCAAAUCACUGUGGGUGUAGGGAACAUGAACUCAUUUUAAUAUCAGCCUGAACCAGACAUCACUGGGAAGGAAAUCGGAGAAGCUAUUCCAAAGUCAAGUAAAAAUAACUUCGGUACUGGCUUUACUGCCACACCUUGCCUGGGGAAGCCAGUUGGCAAGCUAUUGUAGAAAUUCAAGAUUACAGAGCCAAGGGCUGUGGGCUGGCAUUGGAGGGAAAGGAGGCAAUGGAUGCCAUUUCAAAGGAAAGCUUUGGUUUAAUGAAAGCAUGGACGCCGGACAUCGAAGAGGCAGAGAAGCCAAGCAAGUCUCCCAUGGUUCGAGUCUGUGACAAUGGGAUAAUGAAGUCAGGAAAGUUGGGAAGAGGUGCUGGUUCCAAGGCAAAUUUGAUUUGAGUAGAAAGCAGGACAUACAAGUGGAUAAUAUGUCUAAAGAGGGAAAGUUAAUGGAAAUGGAUAGAAAACCUUUUAUCUCAUUUGCUGUUGCUGCUUCAGCCAACUCCUGGCUCCUUAAUCAAUAUUUCCAGUUCCCAAGCCAUCCCAGGCUCUGCACCGACCAUUCUAAUUGCUGGUGGGACGCCCCUCAGACUCCUCAAGCAGGAGGACACGCAUUACAGGGAAGCAGCCUGGAAAACUGGCCUCGGAGUCAUGAGUUCUGGGGUCUGCCGUUUGGGCAAGUCACUUUACUCUCCAGUUAACAGUUUUCUCAUCAGUGAACCGAAGGUUUAGAUUAAGUAAUAUCUUAUUUAAUCGCUUUCCUGUUUUUCCCCAGUGUGGUUUCUCUCCUAGAGUUUUUUUCUUCUGUUAGUUGUGCCACCAUUCUUCUAGUGGCCUUGUGCCCAGAAGUGUCCUGAACUCCUGACGUUCUUGUGCUCCAUGUAAGAAAGACUCCCCAGAGAGAGAGAGUGCACAAGCAGGAGCAGCGGCAGAGGGAGAGGGAGAAGCAGGCUCCCCACUGAGCCGGACACGGGACUCGAUUCCAGGACACUGGGAUCAUGACCUGAGCCAAAGGCAGACGCUUAACUGACCGAGCCACCCAGGCGCCCUGAAAUUGGAUGUAUUUAAGGUGCACAAUUUGAUCAGUUUUGACAUAAGCAUACACCUAUGCAACCAUCUCCACGAUCAAGAACAUCUCCAUCACCUCCAAAUGUUGUAUCAUUCCCCUUUGUCACCCCACCAUCCUGCUCCUCCUCUCCCGGUCUGCCCCUCUGGUCAUCUCCAGACAACCAAUGACCUGUGUUCUGCAAGCAUAGAUUACUUUGUGUUUCCUAGAACUUUAUAUAAAUGGAAUAAUUUAGUAUGUACUUUUUUUUUUUACUUCUUUCACUCAGCAUGGUUAGUUUGAGUUUCAUCCAUGUAUUGUUGCUAUAGAAAGAAUUCAUUCUUUUUUAUUACCAAGUAGUAGUCCAUUCUGUGUAUAUACAGUAAUUUGUUUCUCUUUUCCCCUAUUGAUGGGUUUUUGGAUUGCUUCCAGUUUUUGGCUAUUAUAAAUAAAGCUGUUAGGGGCAUUUGUGUACAAGACUUUGCAUGGAUAUAUGCUUUUAUUUCUCUUGGGUAAAUAUCAAGAAUGACUGAGUCAUAUAGCAGGUACAUGUUUAAUAAACUGUCAAACUAUUUUCUUUUUUCUUUUUUUUUUUUUUUAAAGAUUUUAUUUAUUUAUUUGACAGAGAUAGAGACAGCCAGCGAGAGAGGACACAA